CUUACAUUAUUGGGAACGAUAUUACUAGACCUAUAUCGAACAAAUCACAUACACAGAAGUCUAUGCCUACCGCAUUUGUGAAGCACCAGUUCAUGGUAUGCUCGCCCUGAAAAUUUUUGUGGAAAUUCUUUGAAUCUUUCCAGACGAUGAACAGUUUCUUAUCACCGAACUCAAAUUAGAAAUAGGAAACAAAGAAGACAAAAAUGUAUUGCAGCAAAUAAACAUGCCAAAUUAUGGACAAAGCAGUAUAAAGCGAUCAUUUUAAGAUUAUUACUAAAAAUAUGUAAAUUAGCAUAAUUUUGAAAUAAUGAUUUAUCCCAAAAGUACUCAUGGUCUUCAAAAAAUGAAUUAUUAUAUCAUGGUACGAUUUCAUAAAUGCAGACACUUACAAAGUGCAUAUUGAGUUCAGGUAAUAUUGACCACAGGCGCAACAUGAUAAAGAAAUGUUAUUAACCUGCCACUAAAAAAUGCAUUUUUUACAAGGAAUGACUACAAAAAAAGGAAUUUAACAAGGGCACUCUUCUUUUGACAAAAAGAAAGUUCUUUUAACUGCAUUAUGGGAGCAAAAUGUAAACAAACUACUCCAAAAAUAUUUGCCCCUCAGUCGAAGUUGCACCCUUGUCAUAAUAAUGGUACGGUCUGCGGAUUCCGCAUAUCCGAAUGAGCCUGUGGGUACAUUAAUUGUGUAUUAUAAGUGUGACAGGCCAGACCGUCGUUAUUCAUAUGCUAAUGAGAUUCCCCAAUUCAUCUGUUCCAUAAAACCAACACAACUACUACGAAAGUUCCACAACCGACAAUGUGUAAACAUUCCCAAGCGUUUAUGUACCGAUGACAGAGAAUAGAUUUUUUUUUCGUUGGGGAGCGUGGGCAGUAUGCUUCAGCAGUAUUAAGCACACGAUCCGGGAAGCGUGCGCGAAGGACUUAAUUGCAUCCUCUUAGCUCUGAGGGACGGAGGAGAAACUGAACAAUGUGAGCGUGCUCCAAAAUGCCGCACGGUCAUUUGUGGGACCCUGUGUUCAUUUUCAAUUAUUGUAAAACGUAAUAUAUCAAAACGGUAAGGCUGACGUGCCAUUUAGGCAAAAAAUUUUAACGAUAACGGGCCUUCAGUCUGCGUACAUAUUGAUGGCGGGUAAUCACGUGGAGUUACCCAUCACGACGCAAGAAAAGAAUGGAUCAAUGCAAUGUGCUCCCAAGAGCAAGAUGAAAAUUAGCACAGCAGCGUAAAUGGGUACAGAGCCUUCAUUAUUAGACGCUGAACACAGGCAACUUCGAUAACUAAGCCACUGAAUGCCGGGAUGUUGAUUAAAAACCACAGAGGAACUUACACUGUGGAUUCAG